rnacentral:rRNA from 1 species
AACGUACGCUGGCGGCACGCCUAACACAUGCAAGUCGAACGAAGUAGCAAUACUUAGUGGCAGACGGGUGAGUAACAUGUAGGUAUCUGCCCUUUGGCCUGGAAUAACACGAGGAAACUUGUGCUAAUACCGGAUAAGUCUUUACGGAGAAAGCUUUAUGCACCAUUGGAUGAGCCUGCACUUGAUUAGUUUGUUGGUGGGGUAAUGGCCUACCAAGACUGUGAUCAAUAGCUGAUUUGAGAGGAUGAUCAGCCACAUUGGGACUGAGACACGGCCCAAACUCCUACGGGAGGCAGCAGUGGGGAAUCUUGCACAAUGGAGGAAACUCUGAUGCAGCGAUGCCGCGUGAGUGAAGAAGGCCCUUGGGUUGUAAAGCUCUUUCGUCGGGGAAGAAAAUGACUGUACCCGAAUAAGAAGGUCCGGCUAACUUCGUGCCAGCAGCCGCGGUAAUACGAAGGGACCUAGCGUAGUUCGGAAUUACUGGGCUUAAAGAGUUCGUAGGUGGUUGAAAAAGUUAGUGGUGAAAUCCCAGAGCUUAACUCUGGAACUGCCAUUAAAACUUUUCAGCUAGAGUAUGAUAGAGGAAAGCAGAAUUUCUAGUGUAGAGGUGAAAUUCGUAGAUAUUAGAAAGAAUACCAAUUGCGAAGGCAGCUUUCUGGAUCAUUACUGACACUGAGGAACGAAAGCAUGGGUAGCGAAGAGGAUUAGAUACCCUCGUAGUCCAUGCCGUAAACGAUGUGUGUUAGACGUUGGAAAUUUAUUUUCAGUGUCGCAGGGAAACCGAUAAACACACCGCCUGGGGAGUACGACCGCAAGGUUAAAACUCAAAUGAAUUGACGGGGACCCGCACAAGUAGUGGAGCAUGUGGUUUAAUUCGAAGAUACGCGCAGAACCUUACCAACACUUGACAUGUUCGUCGCGACUCUAAGAGAUUAGAGUUUUCGGUUCGGCCGGACGAAACACAGGUGCUGCAUGGCUGUCGUCAGCUCGUGUCGUGAGAUGUUGGGUUAAGUCCCGCAACGAGCGCAACCCUCACUUUUAGUUGCCAUCAUUAAGUUGGGCACUCUGAAAGAACUGCCAGUGGUAAGCUGGAGGAAGGUGGGGAUGACGUCAAGUCCUCAUGGCCCUUACGUGUUGGGCUACACACGUGCUACAAUGGUAUCUACAACAGGAAGCAAGACUGCGAAGUUAAGCAAAUCCCUAAAAGAUACCUCAGUUCGGAUUGCACUCUGCAACUCGAGUGCAUGAAGCUGGAAUUACUAGUAAUCGUGGAUCAGCGUGCCACGGUGAAUGCGUUCCCGGGUCU